rnacentral:snRNA from 1 species
AGAAUUAGCAUGGCCCCUGCACAUAGAUGACAUGAAAAUUUGUGAAGCAUUACAUUUUUUU